rnacentral:tRNA from 1 species
CGGGGUGUAGCUCAGUGGCAGAGCGCAUGCUUAGCAUGCAUGAGGUCCUGGGUUCAAUGCCCAGUACCUCCA